rnacentral:rRNA from 1 species
UACGGAGGGUGCAAGCGUUAAUCGGAAUUACUGGGCGUAAAGCGUGCGCAGGCGGUUUGUUAAGUCCGUUGUGAAAGCCCCGAGCUCAACUUGGGAAUUGCAGUGGAUACUGGCAGGCUGGAGUACGGUAGAGGAAGGUGGAAUUCCUGGUGUAGCGGUGAAAUGCGCAGAUAUCAGGAGGAACACCGGUGGCGAAGGCGGGUCUCUGGGCCGAUAUUGACGCUGAGGAGCGAAAGCGUGGGGAGCGAACAGG